rnacentral:rRNA from 1 species
UACAGAGGGUGCGAGCGUUGUCCGGAAUCACUGGGCGUAAAGGGCGCGUAGGUGGCGCCCCAAGUCCGUGGUGAAAGCUCGAUGCUCAACAUCGAGUCGGCCACGGAAAUUGGGGGGCUCGAGCACUGUAGAGGCAGAUGGAAUUCCGGGUGUAGCGGUGGAAUGCGUAGAGAUCCGGAAGAACACCGGUGGCGAAGGCGGUCUGCUGGGCAGUAGCUGACACUGAGGCGCGACAGCGUGGGGAGCAAACAGG